GCUUGCACGGAGGCGGGGUAGUAGAGGACGGCCUCGCAAGGUAGCUCUGCUCGAGCGAGGCAGCAGCACUACUCCCGUUCAGGAGAGGAGGCGUUCUCCACCGGGUCAUAGGAAUCCUGACGAGAUGGACGGCAAUGCUAGGUCGACGGCGGCGAGUCAGAAGAAGUCCAUCGUCCCGGACGACGACCUCGUGGAGCUGCUCUGGCACAACGGAAGCGUCGUGGCGCAGCCCCAGGGGCACCACAGGCCGGCGCCGCCCUCCGACCGCGACUGCCCGGGCACCAGCGGCCUUACUGCCGAGGAGACCGCCGCGUGGUUCCCGGACACCCUCGACGACUCGCUGGAGAAGGACCUGUACACGCAGCUCUGGUACAGCACGAUCGCCGACGCCGCCCCGCAACACGAGGGCAUGUUCCCGGGCCCUACCUCGCAGCCUUCGCCGCCGCCGCCCGUUGCGAGCAGCGGCGUCGAGUCGAGCUGGGCCGGCGACAUCUGCUCGACCUUCUGCGGCAGCAACCAGGUGCCCAGGACGCCGGCAGGGAUCAGGGGGAAGGACGCGGCAUUGCAGCCGGAGGUGCCGAGCGGUGCCGGCGCGCACGACGGCACAUCGUCAUCCGGUGGGUCCGGAAGCAACUAUGGGGGAUCCGGGCUGCCCAGUGACAGCGUCCAUGUCCACAAGAGGAAGGGGAUGUGUAGAGACGAGUCAGAUAGUCGGAGUGAGGUGUCUACUUUUGUUUUAUAUAACAUGUAUCCUGAACGAACUGCUAGAAAAUAGAGUCGAAAUAGAGAUGCUUGAGUGGAAUAGAAUUGAUGAGGAAAUUGCAGGAUGCCGAGUGUGAGGAGGCAAGGAGACCAAACCCUGGCGGCGGCAUGGGCGGAAACGCCGGACUCGUGCAGCUGAAGUCCAUAAUCUCUCAGAGAGGAGAAGAAGGGACCGGAUCAAAGAAAAGAUGCGUGCGUUGCAAGAGCUGAUCCCACACUGCAACAAGACUGACAAAGCAUCUAUACUAGACGAGACGAUUGAGUACCUGAAGUCCCUCCAAAUGCAAGUUCAGAUCAUGUGGAUGACUUCUGGGAUGGUGCCAAUGGUGUUUCCUGGUGCUCACCAAUACAUGCCACCAAUGGCUCUAGGCAUGAAUUCAGGUUGCAUCCCUGCAGCACAAGGCCUAAGUCAGAUGCGAAGAUUACCAUACAUGAACCACCCCAUGCCAAAUCAUAUCCCUCUGAACUCGUCUCCAGCUAUGAAUCCAAUGAAUCCACUGAACACUGUGAACCAGUUCCAAAACGGUCACCUCAGGGAGGUACCAAGACCUGGACCCCAUGUUUAUGGACACCAAAUAGCACAAGCCGAAGAACACAACAGAAUACUGGAAGUGGCAGCUAGUACUGUUAUACCAACUUCUAAGGCAGGGCAACCACCUACUUUUGAUGGAGUUUAGAGUGGUCAUAAAUCCUGUAAGGUGUUGCACUGAUAAUCUGACGAUGCAUAGCGUUGGUACCUUGAGUUGUAUAUCUGUGCAGUAGUGUCAGCAGCAUACUCUUUGACAUCUAAGCUUGGUUCUAGAGUUAUUAAUAGGAGCCUAGUAUAGGUAACAAGAUUGCAAGACAACUACCUGUCUACCACCAUAUUCUCUGUGGAAGAACUGGAGCUGCAUACUGCUGUGCAGUACAGUGUUCAAGAGAGAAUGGAACAGAUGAGUAUUUGAAGCACAACCUGAACAGGAAAUGGUCUUCUUUCUGGCAAUCGCUGAAAAUACUGACGUGAUGAGGAGCAGAUUGCAUCCCUAUGGCUGUAUUGUAAUAUAUCUACAUCAACAUGGCAAUACGUGUCUGGACUUGGAUGCUACAGUUACAUGUAAAUGCAGAGUUGCAGGUUUGGUCGGCAGGAGCAUACAUCUUCACACGACGUGGACAGUGGACUACGGGCCGAGACAGUGGCCCAGACACGACACGGCUCUUAUAUCAGGCUAGGCCAGACACUAUUUAAUGUGUCAUGCCUCAGGCCGGUCCACGAGACACGGCUGACCAUCUAUACCACAUACUCUACUCCUCCACGGCAACAGUUCAGCAUCCUCCUGGCAAUGGCAACGGUUCAGCAUCCUCCAUGGCAACUGUGCGGAGCCCUAGACUAGACCUGCUGCAAGAUGGCAGACCCUCAUCUUCAGAGCGGAUUGGGUUUGGAUCCCCUGUACUCCUCCUUGCUCCCCUGUUGCUUUCAGUUCGUCUCACGGUUAUUGUUCAGACUUCAGAUACAUAUGUCGUUGUGCCUGGUUGGCUGUAUCUGGACAUCAGUUUCCGUGUUGCUACUAUUUUCCCCCCUGUAUUUCUUUAUAACGGACAUUC